CCUACGGGGGGCAGCAGUGGGGAAUAUUGGACAAUGGGGGGAACCCUGAUCCAGCCAUGCCGCGUGUGUGAAGAAGGCCCUCGGGUUGUAAAGCACUUUCAGUGAGGAAGAACGCCUGGUGGUUAAUACCCAUCAGGAAAGACAUCACUCACAGAAGAAGCACCGGCUAACUCCGUGCCAGCAGCCGCGGUAAUACGGAGGGUGCGAGCGUUAAUCGGAAUUACUGGGCGUAAAGCGCGCGUAGGUGGCUUGAUAAGCCGGUUGUGAAAGCCCCGGGCUCAACCUGGGAACGGCAUCCGGAACUGUCAAGCUAGAGUGCAGGAGAGGAAGGUAGAAUUCCCGGUGUAGCGGUGAAAUGCGUAGAGAUCGGGAGGAAUACCAGUGGCGAAGGCGGCCUUCUGGACUGACACUGACACUGAGGUGCGAAAGCGUGGGUAGCAAACAGGACUAGAUACCCCAGUAGUC
rnacentral:rRNA from 1 species